AUUGAACGCUGGCGGCAUGCUUUACACAUGCAAGUCGAACGGUAACAGGUCUUCGGAUGCUGACGAGUGGCGAACGGGUGAGUAAUGUAUCGGAACGUGCCCAGUAGUGGGGGAUAACUACUCGAAAGAGUGGCUAAUACCGCAUGAGAACUGAGGUUGAAAGCGGGGGACCUUCGGGCCUCGCGCUACUGGAGCGGCCGAUAUCAGAUUAGGUAGUUGGUGGGGUAAAGGCCUACCAAGCCGACGAUCUGUAGCUGGUCUGAGAGGACGACCAGCCACACUGGGACUGAGACACGGCCCAGACUCCUACGGGAGGCAGCAGUGGGGAAUUUUGGACAAUGGACGCAAGUCUGAUCCAGCAAUGCCGCGUGCAGGACGAAGGCCUUCGGGUUGUAAACUGCUUUUGUACAGAACGAAAGGGACGUCUGGUUAAUACCUGGGGCAGAUGAUGGUACUGUAAGAAUAAGCACCGGCUAACUACGUGCCAGCAGCCG
rnacentral:rRNA from 1 species